rnacentral:lncRNA from 1 species
GUUUGUGACAUGGUUCUUAUGAUAAAUUGGAUGAUGAUGGUCUUGCACCUCCUGUAAUCCUUAGAUUUCAGCAGGACUAAGAGAAGCUACUGCUACUUAAGUAGCAGGUUCUAAGUCUAACCUUGUAAGUUAUUAUCUUUGCUCUCUAGACGUAUGUUUUCAUGCCUACGUCUUCUGCAUAAAGCAUAUAACUUGAUGAGUCAAACAUAUUAUUCAUAUAAACUUAAGAACAGAACACUCAUCACCAAGUCUGGGAAGGGAAUGGUAUUUUAAAUGGCAUUCACAAGAACCUUUUGUUCAAUUAUCUUAGUAUUAAUCACAAGAAUCCUACUAUUAAUCAGUCUGCUCCUUAUUCUUUAAUUAUGCAUAUACUUGUGCAGGUUCAAAGUUUGUUAGUACUGAUGGCAGUACAGGCAGCAAGGUCUCAUCAUUUUCAACAAGUCUUG